rnacentral:rRNA from 1 species
AGUGACGAUAGCCUAGGAGAUACACCUGUACCCAUGCCGAACACAGAAGUUAAGCCCUAGAACGCCGGAAGUAGGUUGGGGGUUGCCCCCUGUGAGAUAGGGAAGUCGCUUAGCU